GGACGGUCAUAGCAGCGUGGUUACACCUGUUCCCAUUUCGAACACAGAAGUUAAGCAUGCUCACGUUCCGGGGUGUACUGCACUUUGUGUGGGAAACCCGGAAAGCUGUCCUCU
rfam:Euryarchaeota archaeon SM23-78 WORSMTZ_8722, whole genome shotgun sequence.